UCAAAAUAUGUCUUUUUCUUUUUUUUUUUCCUUCGAGACAGAGUCUUGCUCUGUCACUCAGGCUGGAGUGCAGUAGAAUAAUCAUGGCUCACUGCAGCCUCAAAGAGCUCCUGGGCUCAAAUGAUCCUCCUGCCUCAGCCUUUUAACAGGCAAAUGCCACCAGGCCUGGCUUUUUUACUUUUCUGUAGAGACAGGGUCUCACUCUGUUGCCCAGGCUGGUCUUGAACCCCUUGGCUCAAGCAGUCUUCCCAUCUUCAUCUCCCAAAGUGGUGGGAUUACAGGUGUGAGCCACUGUACCCGGCCAGACUUGAAUCCUUUCUUGGUGUGCGAAAAAGUAGGUCAUAGGCCGGGCACAGUGGCUCACGCCUAUAAUCCCAGCACUGUGGGAGGCCGAGGCGGGUGGAUCACGAGGUCAAGAGAUCGAGACCAUCCUGGUCAACAUGGUGAAACCCCGUCUCUACUAAAAAAACAAAAAUUAGCUGGGCACGGUGGCGCAUGCUUAUAGUCCCAGCUACUCAGGAGGCUGAGGCAGGAGAAUUGCUUGAAUCCAGGAGGCGGAGGUUGCGGUGAACUGAGAUUGUGCCAUUGCACUCCAGUCUGGGUAACAAGAGCGAAACUCUGUCUCAAAAAAAGAAAAAGUAGGUCAUAAAGAUUCUAACAAAAAACUUGCAGUGGUUCUUUUUCUUUGCUUGUUUUUGGAGAUAGGGUCUUGCUCUGUUGCUCAGGCUGGAGUAAGUGCAGUGGCACAAUGUACAGAUUACGUACAGAUUAUUUAUUUAUUUUUUGAGGCAGGGUGUCAUGCUGUCACCCAGUCUGGAGUGCAGUGGCAUGAUCAUGGCCCAUUGCAGCCUCAACAUCCCAGCCUCAAGUAAUUCUCCCACUUCACGGCUCACUGCAGCCCAGGCUAAUUAUUAUUAUUGUUGUUGUUAUUAUUUAAUUCAUUGUAGAGAUGGGGUCUUGCUUUGUUGACCAGUCUGAUCUUGAACAGGGGAUCCUCGCACCUUGACCUCCCAAAGUGCUAGGAUUACAGGCAUGAACCACUACACCCAGCCACCUUCUGUAUUUAACUAAGUCUGGGGGAAAUUUUUGGUGAGACACUGGGUUGUCUAAUGCUUGUUGGGGACAACUCUUUGAGGACUUCAAUUGCUAACGUCUCAUCAUGAGAAUUUAAGAACUUCUAUGAAGCAUCCUCAUCAGCCCAUUAAACUAGAUGGCCACAGAAACUCUAACGUGGCAAAUCUGAUGCUUCCUGGGGUCACAGCUAGGACAGUGAGUUAUGGAUUCAGACCAUGGCUGGGUGCCGUGGCUCACAACUGUAAUCCUAAUGAUUUGGGAGGCCAAACUGAGAGAAUCACUUGAGGCUGGGAGUUCAAGACCAGCCUGAGCAACAUAGUGAGAUCCUGUCUCUACAAAAAAUUUAAAAAACUGCCAGGCAUGGUGACAUGCACCUGUAGUCCCAGCUACUUGGGAGGCUGAGGUGGGAGGAUUAUUGCCUGAGCCCAGAAUGUCGAGGCUUCAGUGAGCCAAGUUACACCACUGUACUCCAGGCUAGGCCACAGAGUGAGACCCUGUCUCUUAAAAAAAAAAAAAUAGAUUCAGGCCACAGCAUCCACAGGCACCAGCAUUUGAGAAGUCAUUUCUCUCCAUGGCCUGGCACUGGUUUUCAUCUUGGUAUUAGAAAUGCAUCAGUGCUCCUUGGGGAAGGAGCCAGCUUCACUUGCACCUGCCCCGUGAGCUGGGAAAAUGCACAUUCUUUUUUUUUUUUUUUUUUUGACAGAGUCUCACUCUGUCGCCCAGGCUGGAGUUAAAUGGUGUGAUCUUGGCUCACUGCAACCUCUGUCUCCCGGAUUCAAACAAUUCUCCUGCCUCAGCCUCCUAAGUAGCUGGGAUUACAGGUGCCCAUCACCACACCCAACUAAUUUUUUAUAUUUUUAGUAGAGACAGGGUUUCGCCAUGUUGGCCAGGCUGGUCUCGAACUCCUGACCUCAGGUGAUCUGCCUGUCUCGGCCUCCCAAAGUGCUGGGAUUACAAGUGUGAGCCACUGCGCCCAGCUGCAAAUGCACAUUCUAAGAAGGAGCCAGAUAGGGCCCGAGUCCCUCUAUGACGCACAGACCGUGAUAAAGGUGUCAUGUUGGCCACAGAAAGCGCGAUUGUUUUCUCCUCCUGCAUUGGGCUGGAGGUUGAAGGCGUGACCUGCUCUGUUGUCCCAGGAGCCAGGGCUUUCUCAGAGGCCCUUUUCUUGUAAUGUCCAAACAACCACGCAGAAAAUGCUAAUUGAUUAUCCUCCAAAAAAUGAUGCUUUGGGCUUCAAAGCCCCAUGACAACUUUCAUCUCACCAAGAAACCCUAGGCUAAGCUUGUGUAACCCUCAGCCCGCGGGCUACAUGUGACCCAGGAAGGCUUUGAAUGUGGCCCAACACAAAUCCUAUGCUUUCUUAAAACAUUAUGAGAUGUUUUUGUCAUUUUUUUUAGCUCAUCAGCUAUCACUAGUGUUAGUGUAGGUUAUGUGUGGCCCAAGAAAAUUCUUCUUCUUCCAGUGUGGCACAAGGAAGUCAAAAGAUUGGACACCCAGCGGGGCUUUUCCAAUUUAGCCCUCCCGCGUUUCCCAGAGCAGGACAGUCCCUCACACCAGUCUCAAAGGCCAGCAGGGCUUUUCCUCACAGACUGAGAGCUACGGUCGCUGCCACGUUCAAAAGUGAUGGUAACAUAGUCAAGACUCUUCCUUAGGGCUUGAGGGCUCCAGCAAACACCUGCCAUCUGUCUGCCUGCUUUUUCUGUCACUUCUGAAAUUCUGGUCUCAUGCCCACGGUCAAAGCAACUAACUUCUGCGGCUACUAGAACUUUCUUUCUGCUUUUCUCACUCUGCGUUUGCUGCUGCCGUUGAUGAAACCCACCUUCUUAUUCCUAGGCACGCUCAGAGUGAGGAUCCGUAGGAGGUUUUGCUUCUCAGGUCAUAUACCCCCAUCUUUCCUCUGCUUCCGACCUAUUUUUCUGCGUCCUUGGUACUGUGGUCUUAUCCAGAGAAGUAACAUUUUGUCUUGCAUUUGCAAAAAUCUCUACCUUUCCCCACAAGGGGAUUUCAGCACAGUUGGCUAUUUUAACAGAUAACAUGGCGCAUGUACCACACAUUCCGUUCCCGAGUCCUUGAAAGUAAUUUUUCGCUUUUUAUGGGCUAUCUUGUUCUUCCCAGCUACAUUUUUGGGGAGUACAGCAGAAUAACUUGCUACUCUUUUUUUUUUUUUUUUUUGAGACAGAGAUUUUGCUCUUGUUGCCCAGGCUGGAGUGCAAUGGCACAAUCUGGGCUCACUGCAACCUCCACCUCCCAGGUUCAAGCGAUUUUCCUACUGAAUAGCUGGGAUUACAGAGACAGGAGUCAAGCAAGGUGGCUGACACCUGUAAUUCCAACAUUUUGGGAGGCUGGGACAGGAGGAUGACUUGAAGCCCAGAGUUUGAGACCAGCCUGCGCAACAUGACCCAGACAGACAUCUGAAUAUGCAACAUGCAAGCGUGGGGUGAUGGCCUCAGAACAGAGAUCAGGAGUGAGAGGGUGACCAGCCAUGGAGGAGAAGUCAUUGCAAACCCUGGCACGGUGUCGCGCAGGCAAGUGAUGCCCUUCACGUGUGAGUACCGAGAGAAAAAUUAUAACUUGCAUGCUAGUAUUGCACCCCUGAAACUAUCAGUGCUAUAGACUAGCAUUUGCCACAUUUCCAGAGCACCCCAGAUAGUCACAUUUUUAGGGCAUACAUUUUCUUUUUGUUGUUGUUUUUGUUGUGUUUUUUGUUUUUUUUGAGACAGAGUCUGGUUCUGUCUCCCAGGCUGGAGUGCAGUGGCGUGAUCUCGGCUCACUGCAACCUCCACCUCCCAGAUUUAAGCUAUUCUCCUGUUUCAGCCUCCCAAGUAGCUCGGACUACAGGCAUGUGCCACCAUGUAGGGCAUAUACUUUCUAUAAGAGUGAAAAAUUUCGGUCGGGCACGGUGGCUCAAGCCUGUAAUCACAGCACUUUGGGAGGCUGAGGCGGGUGGAUCACGAGGUCAAGAGAUCGAGACCAUCCUGGCCAACAUGGUGAAACCCCGUCUCUACUAUAAAUACAAAAAAAUUAGCUGGGCGUGGUGGUGCGCACCUGUAGUUCCAGCUACUCAGGAAGCUGAGGCAGGAGAAUUGCUUGAAUCUGAGACGUGGAGGUUGCAGUGAGCCGAGAUCGCGCCACUGCACUCUAGCCUGAUGCCUGGUGACAGAGCGAGACUCUGUCUCUAAAUAAAUAAAUAAAUAAAUAAGAGUGAAAAAUUUCCUCUGUUGGUCUGCCUUAAGAUUUUGCUAAAUGCAACAAUAUGUUUUAACUUUUCUUUCCUCCCUUCUCCUCCCUCCCUCUCCCUCCCUCUCUCCCUUCCUUCAGUCCUUCCUUCCUUCCUGCCUCCUUCCUCUCCCCUUCCCCCUUCCUCUUUCCUCCUUCCCCUUCCCUCUUCCCUUCUCUUUCCUUCUUUUUUCUCUGUUUCUUUCUUUCUUUCUGAGACAGGGGCUUGCUCUGUUGCCCAGGCUGGAGUGCAGUGAUGUGGUCUUGGCUCACUGCAGCCUCAACCUCCCUGGCUUAAGCCAUCCUCCCAGCUUAGACUUCUGAAUUGCUGAGACCACAGGCACGCACCACCACCCCUGGCUAAGUUUUUUUUUUUUUUUUUUUUUUUUUUUUUUUGUAUUUUUUUGUAGAGACAGGGUUUCACCAUGUUGUCCAGGCUGGUCUCGAACUCCUGGCCUCAAGCGAUCUGCAAGCAAAAAAGCUGUUUGCACUUUUCAAAGGGGAAAAGAAUUGCAGACUCAAGACUGAAACAUAUUCUUUGUUGUAGGUGUGCGUGUUUGCUCACAGCCCUUACACAGCUUGGGUAAGGAGCCCAAUUUUUAGUGGAAGAAAGGGAAACUGCCAGUUUCAACCGCACAACUGAGAUAUUGGAUAAGUUACUUUACAGUUUGGUGUUUCCAUUUCCUGAUCUGUAUGACAGAUACAAGACUAUGUACCCAUUUGGUUUAGUUUGGUUUUGGGCUUAACUAAUCUCCGGAUACCCUUUUUACUGUGAAAUGUCUGUGAUCUGCCUCUUAGGUUACACAGAUGCACUCAUUUCUUUGCAUUGCAGUUUUUUUUCUAGUAAAAGUAGUUACGGUUUCUUGUCUUCCUUUUUAGAAUAUCUUAAGUAACACCCUACAUCCAAGCUCCCAGUAGGUUUCCAGUUCUAACAUGAUGCAGAGUUCCAUAGUGCCCACAAGUAUUGAUGUAUUAGGGCAGUGUGAACCUGGAAGCCACUUCGGAAAAUUGUAAGGUAAGAUGACAUUAGAAAAAUGAUUCAUCAAAAUGCCAAAGUGUGCAAAAGCAUAUCCUCCCUCGCAUUUCUGCACAAUUUGUGUCAAGUGGUCAAGCAGUUCCUAAGCAACGGUGCGGAGGCGGUUGCUAGGCUGGCUUUUCAUGUGUCCACGGAUUCAGCCGCUAAAUAGAUGGUAAGCCCAACUGCAUUCACACAGUUUAUUGCUUAAAGAGACAGUAAGACCAUCAUGGUGUAAGCUCCCACAUCCCUAGUCCCACGGGAUGACACUAAACCAGAGGGGCUAGGUGACAUUGAAGGGCCAACUCAAAAAUGACUGCCAAGCCAUUUUGUAAUAGACUUACACAGAAGCCUGCAGGAGGGAUGCAAGUGUGGGCAAGGUAGAAAGCCCCAGGCCAGGCCGGGCGCGGUGGCUCAAGCCUGUAAUCCCAGCACUUUGGGAGGCCCAGGCGGGUGGAUCAUGAGGUCGAGAGAUCGAGACCAACCUGGUCAACAUGGUGAAACCCCGUCUCUACUAAAAAAAAAAUGCAAAAAUUAGCUGGGCAUGGUGGCGCGCGCCUGUAAUCCCAGCUACUCAGGAGGCUGAGGCGGGAGAAUUGCCUGAACCCAGGAGGCGGAGGUUGCAGUGAGCCCAGAUCGCGCCAUUGCACUCCAACCUGGGUAACAAGAGCAAAACUCCGUCUCAAAAAAAAAAAAAAAAAAGAAAGAAAAAAAGCCCCAGG